rnacentral:rRNA from 1 species
CAUAAUGUCUUCGGACCAAAGUGGGGGACCUUCGGGCCUCAUGCCAUCAGAUGUGCCCAGAUGGGAUUAGCUAGUAGGUGGGGUAAUGGCUCACCUAGGCGACGAUCCCUAGCUGGUCUGAGAGGAUGACCAGCCACACUGGAACUGAGACACGGUCCAGACUCCUACGGGAGGCAGCAGUGGGGAAUAUUGCACAAUGGGCGCAAGCCUGAUGCAGCCAUGCCGCGUGUGUGAAGAAGGCCUUCGGGUUGUAAAGCACUUUCAGCGAGGAGGAAGGGUUCAGUGUUAAUAGCACUGUGCAUUGACGUUACUCGCAGAAGAAGCACCGGCUAACUCCGUGCCAGCAGCCGCGGUAAUACGGAGGGUGCAAGCGUUAAUCGGAAUUACUGGGCGUAAAGCGCACGCAGGCGGUUUGUUAAGUCAGAUGUGAAAUCCCCGCGCUUAACGUGGGAACUGCAUUUGAAACUGGCAAGCUAGAGUCUUGUAGAGGGGGGUAGAAUUCCAGGUGUAGCGGUGAAAUGCGUAGAGAUCUGGAGGAAUACC